AGAGUUUGAUCCUGGCUCAGAGUGAACGCUGGCGGAGGUGCCUAACACAUGCAAGUCGCGCGGGAUUGUGCAGAGUAUCGCAUAGUCUAGCGGCAAACGGGUGAGUAACACGUAGGAAACCUCCCUCAAAAUGGGGAAUAUCUCCGAGAAAUCGGAGUCAAUACCGCAUAAGACCACAGUUUGGCAUCAGAUAGGGGUUAAAGCAGUAAUGCGUUUUGAGAUGGUCCUGCGGCCUAUCAGCUAGUUGGUGGGGUAAUGGCCUACCAAGGCUAUGACGGGUAUCCGGCCUGAAAGGGUGAACGGACACACUGGAACUGAGACACGGUCCAGACUCCUACGGGAGGCAGCAGUGGGGAAUUUUGGACAAUGGGGGAAACCCUGAUCCAGCGACGCCGCGUGGAGGACGAAGGUCUUCGGAUUGUAAACUCCUUUUAGAGGGGAAGAAAAAAAUGACGGUACCCUCAGAAAAAGCCACGGCUAACUACGUGCCAGCAGCCGCGGUAAUACGUAGGUGGCGAGCGUUACUCGGAAUUACUAGGCGUAAAGCGUAUGUAGGCGGUCAGAUAAGUCUUUAGUGAAAUUUCCUUGCUUAACAAGGAAGGGUCUAAGGAUACUGUUUGACUUGAGUGUUGAAGGGGGAGACGGAAUUCCUGGUGUAGCGGUGAAAUGCGUAGAUAUCAGGAGGAACACCGAUGGCGAAAGCAGUCUCCUGGUCAAAUACUGACGCUAAUGUACGAAAGCUAGGGUAGCAAACAGGAUUAGAUACCCUGGUAGUCCUAGCUGUAAACGAUGUUCACUAGAUGUGGGAGGUAUCGACCCCUUCCGCGUCGACGCUAACGCAUUAAGUGAACCGCCUGGGGAGUACGGCCGCAAGGUUGAAACUCAAAGGAAUUGACGGGGACCCGCACAAGCAGGGUGGAAUAUGUGGUUUAAUUCCGACGCAACGCGAAAAAACCCUUACCUGGGCUUGAACUGCUAAUGGUAAAAGCCGGAAACGGUGAUGACCCGCAAGGGAGUUAGCAGAGGUGCUGCAUGGCUGUCGUCAGCUCGUGUCGUGAGAUGUUGGGUUAAGUCCCGCAACGAGCGCAACCCUUAUCCCAUGUUACCUGUAGCAAUACAGGGUCUCUGAGGAAACUGCCAUUGAUAAAAUGGAGGAAGGUGGGGGACGACGUCAAGUCAUCAUGGCCUUUUAUGUCCAGGGCUACACACGUAUUACAAUGGUCGGUACCAAAGGGCAGCGAUAUCGCAAGAUGGAGCAAAUCCUUAAAGCCGGCCCCCAGUUUCAAAUUGUGGGCUGCAAUUCGCCCACAUGAAGUAGGAAUCGCUGAGUAAUCCCAGAAUCACCAGGCUGCGGGUGAAAACGUUCCCGGGCCUUGUACACACCCGCCCGUCACACCACGAAAGUCAGUCGUAACAGAAGUCGUUAAGCUAACCGCAAGGAGGCAGGCGCCUAAGUUAUGGUUGGUGAUUGGGGUGAAGUCGUAACAAGGUAGCCGUACGAGAACGUGCGGCUGGAUCACCUCCUUUAUAAGGAGUAAACAUACGUUUCCAAAUUUAUUUUGAAGCGGGAUGUUAACGGUCGGUCCUUAAAUUCUACAUUCGGGUUUGUUGAUUUUGUGGGGCGUUUAUCUGUGUGUUAUUUGGUAUUGAUAUAUUUAAAAGUUCUAUAUCUUUAAUAGGGCGUGAGUAGUUGUUAACGGGCCUAUAGCUCAGUUAGUCAGAGCGCACCCCUGAUAAGGGUGAGGUCUGUGGUGCAACUCCACAUAGGCCCACCAACGUGUGAUUGAUUUUGUAGUAUAAAAAUUAUGUUGGUGUGUUGGAAAUGGGGAUAUAGCUCAGCUGGGAGAGCGCCUGCUUUGCAAGCAGGAGGUCGUCGGUUCAAUCCCGACUAUCUCCAUAAAAGCUUUCUUUAAUAUAAUCUUUUUAUCUUAAUAAAUAAUUAUAGAUGUAGUUUUGUUCAUUGAAAACUUAAUAGAAGUAAGGUAAAUCAAGCGUCUUCAAAUAUUUAUAUUUGAAACACAAUUUAGUAAAAAGUCAUAUUAACGCUUCACACGAAGUGAGAUUAGAUAAUGUGACCAAGCUACUAAGUGCAUAUAGUGAAUGCCUUGGCUAAGACUGUCGAUGAAGGACGUGGUAAGCUGCGUUAAGCGUCGGGGAGGUGCAAACAACCUUUGAUCCGGCGAUUUCCGAAUGGGGUAACCCACCAUGAAGUAAUUCAUGGUAUCCGAAAGGAAGGCAACCCAGGGAAGUGAAACAUCUCAGUACCUGGAGGAAAAGAAAUCAACCGAGUAUAGCGAAAGUAGUGGCGAGCGAAAUCGCUGAAGCCUAAACCGUUGUGUUUACACAGCGGGGUUGCAGGACCGCAUAAGUAGAGUUACCAAUCAAAAAGUUAAUUGAACGGUUUGGAAAAUCCGACCACAGAAGGUGAAAGUCCUGUAGAUGAAAACUUUUUGACUCGAAGCGGUAUCCUAAGUACCAUCGGACACGUGAAAUCUGGUGGGAAUCUGGGGGGACCACCCUCCAAGGCUAAAUACAAGUCUUAGACCGAUAGUGAACCAGUACCGUGAGGGAAAGGCGAAAAGAACCGCGGGAGCGGAGUGAAAUAGAACCUGAAACUGUAUGCAUACAAGCAGUUCAAGGCUUAUGUCGGAAACGCAAGCAACCGAAAUGGCUGAGAGCGUGCCUUGUUGAAGAAUGAUCCGGCGAGUUAUUGGUAGGUGCGAGGUUAAUUAUUAUUGUUUACGCAUUUUAAGCAACCGUAGCGAAAACCAAGUCUUGAAAGGGCGAAUAGUACCUAUCAUUUAGACCCGAAGCCAAGUGAUCUAUGCCUGGACAGGGUGAAUUCUCUUUUAACCGGGAGAAGGAGGCCCGAAGCGUCGACCGUUGAAAAGGUCUUGCAUGAGCUGGGUAUAGGGGUGAAAGGCCAAUCUAACUUGGUGAUAGCUGGUUCUCUCCGCAAAUAGUUUUUGGAAUAGCCUUGAGCGUUAAACCAGAGAGGUAAAGCACUGAAAUAGUUUAGCGGGUGUAACCCACUUUGCGAUGCUAAUCAAACUCUGAAUUCUCUGGCGUAUUUCUCAGGAGUCAGUACGUGUGGGAUAAGCUUCACGUGCAAAAGGGAAACAGCCCAGACCAUCAAUUAAGGUCCCAAAAUAUAUGCUAAGUGGUAAAGGAUGUGGAAUUUCUUAGACAGCUAGGAGGUUGGCUUAGAAGCAGCCACCCUUUAAAGAGUGCGUAACAGCUCACUAGUCAAGUGAUUCUGCGCCGAAAACACCCGGGGCUCAAGCAUAUUACCGAAAUUAUGGAUUCUAUAGCAAUUAUAGAGUGGUAGGAGAGCGUUCCUGUCGCGCUGAAGGCAUACCGUAAGGAGUGCUGGAGUGGCAGGAAGUGAGGAUGUCGGAAUAAGUAGCGAUAAAAGAGGUGAAAAUCCUCUUCGCCGAAAACCUAAGGUUUCCUUGAGUAAAGUUCGUCUGCUCAGGGUCAGUCGAUCCUAAGCCGAGGUCGAAAGACGUAGGCGAUGGGUAUCCGGUUAAUAUUCCGGAACUAUCUUUAGUGCGUAUAAUGUGUUUGGCUACGCUUUUCAGUAGGUCAGCAUCCGAUUGGAAGUGGAUGUUUCUCGCAAGGGGAGGACUUGGGGCAACCCGAGGAACUGACUGUAUGGGGAGCCAAGAAGAACCCAGGCACCUGUGCUAGAGGUAAACGUACCGCAAACGGACACACGUAGGUGGGGUGAAAAUCCUAAGGCGCGCGAGAUAACUUUCGUUUAGGAACUCGGCAUAUUUGCCCCGUAACUUCGGGAUAAGGGGUGCCUAUGGCAACAUAGGUCGCAGUGAAAUGGCCCUCGUGACUGUUUAACAAAAACACAGGACUCUGCUGAAAUCACAAGAUGAUGUAUAGGGUCUGACGCCUGCCCGGUGCCGGAAGGUCAAGGAGAGGAGUUAGCGCAAGCGAAGCUCUGAACUUAAGCCCCGGUAAACGGCGGCCGUAACUAUAACGGUCCUAAGGUAGCGAAAUUCCUUGUCGGGU
rnacentral:rRNA from 1 species